rnacentral:rRNA from 1 species
UGCGUAGGCGGAAUAUUAAGUCAGUGGUGAAAUCCUGCGGCUCAACCGUAGAACUGCCAUUGAUACUUAUAUUCUUGAAUGUAGUUGAGGUAGGCGGAAUGUGUAAUGUAGCGGUGAAAUGCUUAGAUAUUACACAGAACACCGAUUGCGAAGGCAGCUUACUAAACUAUGAUUGACGCUGAGGCACGAAAGCGUGGGGAGCGAACAGGAUUAGAUACCCUGGUAGUCC